rnacentral:lncRNA from 1 species
AACAAUGAGCAAAGCCCAUACCGCAUAGUCAGCUAUAAUAGGCCCCGAUAAGACAAUGUCAAACAAUUCAAACGAGAAAACUAACGGCCUUAUUUAUGUAAAAAAAUGAACGAAAAACAAAUAUGUAACACAUAAACAAACGACACCCACUGAAUUACAGGCUCCUGACUUGGGACAGCCACAUACAUAAUUAAUGUGAUGGGGUUAAACAUGUUAGCGGGAUCCCAACCCUCCCCUAACCUGUGACAGUGGUAUAACAGUACAACAUAAGAAC